rnacentral:miRNA from 1 species
ACAGCGUUUCUCUGUAUAACC